rnacentral:lncRNA from 1 species
AAAGCAAACAAGUAGAGUGAAAAUUAGGAUAACAAAGUGAAACUGUUCCAAGUCCAAAUAUUUGUGCCUGGUCAGAUCAUUUUUUUUCACAACUCUACUGUAAAAGGCAAAUAUCGUGGUCCUCCUUUCUAUUCACGCUAUUCUAAGCUGCCUGAUUCUGAUUCCAUCCCUUAUAUCCUCUAGCACACAUCAUAUUUUUUUCAUAAACUCCUUCAUCUUAUUAUUCAAGUAAAAACAAUGAAUAAUUUUCUUUCAGGUUAUUGAGCUGAAUGAAGUCACAGAGGGGUCUAAUGAAUGCCAGAACCUCCGAGAAGAAAAGAAUGGAAGCAGAAUCUUCUCAUUUCAUUAGCAGCAAGUCUCCAGAUGGUGUCAUGGUGUUUCAGAACAAGAAGGAAGGAAGGAUAGUGAGCAUGUUGCUCUCUUCUGUCUCCUCGAAACACCUUUAUCUCCAGUCCCGUGACAUUGAUGAGAUGGACUUUUUACUCUCAAUACAAGCAGAAGGUGCUAAGUAACAACGUCAGCCUUAUGCCCUUAUUUUUAGCUAGAGAAACAACUUGUAGACAACCAGGUCAGGAGUUUCAUUUUCAAUAUUUAACUGGUUUUGCGUUACUUUAAAAAAAAAGUGCUUCCAAAACAGCCUAUCUUACAUAAAUAAUGUGUUUCUCAAAGGGCCUGAUCCUACUAGAGUCUUUAAGAAAAAGUAUCAAAUGUGUUGUGGUUCUGUAGCUAAAUUGCCUGUACUGUGUUACUUUACUGUGUAAUAUCCUAUGCUUGUCUCAGUGCUUUGAGUCUCUCCUUCCCAGUCCAUGUCAGUCAUUUCUUAACAAGGCAAUUGCAACCCCUCGCAAGGAGGUGAGUUAUGUUAAUAACUGCCACAGACAUCUUGGGGACUCUGGAUCGCUUUUCCAUUUUGUGUUCCCUAAUUCCCUUUAGUUUAAAAAUGGAGAUUGAUUGUAUGAAUAGCAAAAAAGAAAAAAAGAAAAGAAAAAAAGAUUAUUGUAUAUAUUCUUACUUCAGUUUUAGUCAGGGCUAAUGAACAUUUGCUUCAUAAACUACUAAAGUGUCUUAUGUGCCAUGCUAGGCAUGAUUUUGAUAAAAUGUUACCUUAAUUUCUAGUAGAAUCUGUCAUUAACUGUGCAGUAUCUUUUCAGUUUUUCCAGGUAGCACUACUUUUAAAAACACUUCUUUGUCCAGCACAUUCAGUUCUGUCAUAUGCUUAGAAAGGAUUAAUUGUUUCACCUUUCAGAGAUGCAAGCAGAAAUUAUUUUUAGAAGAAUUAGGUGAUGGUAAGACUUAAAUGUGCCUCUGACUUUGCAUGCAGGUUACUAUUGCUGUAUAAGCAAGGGAGAUUUUUAAUGGUGAAGACUCAUUGAGAGUGUUACAGUUGGAAAUUGUUCCUCAGAGCAGAGAACAUUAAAUUCACUCUGCCCACUGGUGUUUUCAUGGUAGCACAGGAAGGUGUAUGUGCCUGGGCUUCUCAGGGCAGGCUGAUUAGGGGGCUGUUUAGUAUUCUUUUUCAGUGAAACUAAUUGAAGGACUGUUCAUGGCUUGUAGCUCCUGUUGCGUCAUAGAACUCAGUAGAGGAGGAUAAAUGUAGUGCUAACUCUUUCUCUUGUUAUAGGAAAUGCUGCUUUCUGUACUGGAAAGGAGAGGCAUAACAAAGAACAGGGUUGGUUUUCUUUUCUCAGUUUCUGCCAAUUGUAUUUUCCAUCCCACUAGAGCAUCCACUGCUGUCUUAUGACAAACACCAGCAGUCUUCCAUUUUGGAAAUGUGUCCAUUUAAGGAAGGGAAUAAGGUAUUCUUCAUGGGAUGAGUAACAUGCUUAAGACCAACAUUAACAACCUUUCUCCAUCCCUAGUUUCUUUUUUUCCUAUUGACUUGUCUACUCCUUGUUCCCAACUUCUGGUGUUUUGUUUUGGUUUUUUUAUGACAUUUUUGAUCCCUCACACACACAUCCCUUUCUCCAUCCAUUCUCUUUUUCUCUCUCCUUCUUCUUUUCCUGAUAGACUGGCAUACCCUUGUGGCAGUUAGUUUUGCUUGGCUGGGUCAACAUCUGUCUCCACGGAAAAUAUUUUCUUUGGGUACUUAAAAACAUGGCAUAUACUCUGAACUGUUACCUCUAAAGGCCAUCAUCCUUUGUGUUUUUUUUAAUGUAGAACACAAACAACAAAAGUAUUUUCUCAGUGGAGAUGCAAUCUGGGGCUUUUUUACUGUUUGCAGACUGAUUAGCUGUAAAAUUAAAGCCGAAUACUUUGGAGAGCAGCACUAGGUAAAACAAACGUCACCAAUCAGUCAUGAAUGAGUUUUCCUCAGGUUUGAAUUUAUUGUUUGCCUUUCACUAAUUCAAAUAAAAUUUGAAUCCAAACAAGCCA